CGCAUGCAGGUGGUUCAUUAAGUCAGAUGUGAAAGCCCGGGGCUCAACCUCGGAACUGCAUUUGAAACUGGUGAACUAGAGUGCUGGUAGAGGGGGGUAGAAUUUCAGGUGUAGCGGUGAAAUGCGUAGAGAUCUGAAGGAAUACCAGUGGCGAAGGCGGCCCCCUGGACAGGCACUGACACUCAGAUGCGAAAGCGUGGGGAGCAAACAGGAUUAGAUACCCUGGUAGUCCACGCCGUAAACGAUGUCUACUUGGAGGUUGUGGCCUUGAGCCGUGGCUUUCGGAGCUAACGCGUUAAGUAGACCGCCUGGGGAGUACGGUCGCAAGAUUAAAACUCAAAUGAAUUGACGGGGGCCCGCACAAGCGGUGGAGCAUGUGGUUUAAUUCGAUGCAACGCGAAGAACCUUACCUACUCUUGACAUCCAGAGAAGCCAGCGGAGACGCAGGUGUGCCUUCGGGAACUCUGAGACAGGUGCUGCAUGGCU
rnacentral:rRNA from 1 species